UUGACAUACUCGUAUUUACUGUUUGCCAUCUCCACCACCUCUGCGAACGAUCUCUCAGCCUCGAAAUUUGAAGCCCCAAUCACAGGAUCGCUUCCUCUCUUGGGUUUGUGGCGCGCGCAUAAACUGAUGGAGUGUAGCGGUUUUAGGAUGAAAAGACAAAAAAGCCCCUCUUGAUCUCCAACACUACCAGUCUGCUACUGACGAGUAAUUAACCCAAUUUCAUAAAUGUCACUUUUUAUAAAAGCUUUCGCAUAUAACAGAAAACUCAAGUGAAUAGACCUAAAUACCCUAAAAAUCCAUAUCCAUAUAUAGAAGAAAUUCAAGAAAGUUGAAGAUUCAUGAUUGCAAUCAUUGGUGUCUUAAACAAGCGCACCAAUUCCUCAUGCUUGGAACGAAUUGUUGUUUCUCCAUUUGCUCCAUUAGCAUAUUUGCAUCUUGAACAAGCGCACCGAUUCUCAUUUGCAUGCCAAUGCAUCGUGUUUGGGCAAUACUCAGUCACAAGCAAGGCGCUUAAUUUUUAGUGGUACACACCAGAGUGCUGAUUGAGGUUUAGCACACAUACAAACAUAGGCAUGAUGAGUUAAAACAUAUGGUAAUCAAUUUUUUUUUUCUGCAUAAUGAUAACAAGAUAUACAAACUUCAAGAGGCCCCAAAAAUGCAAAUGCAUUCUUGAAAACCACAUCACAGCUAUGAAUGUGCCUUCAACAUCAGGCACACUCAAGUAGGGCUGGGCAAGGGCCGGGCCGGGCCCAAUUUUGAAGGAAUCGGACCGGACCGAAGUUUAAAAGAAAUGGACCGGUCCGGGGUGGGUACAACAUAUUUUAAAAUAGGAAUCGGACCGAACCUGGCCCGUUUGAAUUUUAUUUUAUUUUUAUUUUUUUUGGGAAAAAAAACACUUAAUCCACAAACAACCUACACAACCCAACAACAAGAAAUAGCCGCACAAAUGCAUCUUUUUUGUUGAAACCAACUUAAAUAGAUUUGGGCAACAAAAACCUUCGUAUAAAAACACCAAACGCAAAGGCUAAAACCAGAAUCACAAAACAAAAUUAGAAACAGAUGAGAUCCAAGUAACACCUAGAAGGAUAAAAAAUAGACUAAGCAACUCCCAAACUCCAGUUUAGGACUUUCCAAAUACAAAUGCAUGAAUCUUCACUAAAAAACCUCGCUGACAGGAUUUGAUAGUGAAGUCAUACAUUGGUCAAGCACUAAGACCCAAGAUUUGAUCCCAUGACUGGCCACAAACAGUUUCUUCAUUCGAAAAGGAACAAAUGACUCAACCACAGAAAUCAAUGUAAAAUGCAGGUACUCCAUCAAUACUUCGAUACGAUUACAGAACAAUAUCAAUACAAGCUUAUGCAGGAGAUUUAAAAACACCAUUAGAAAAAAAAAAAGGACAAAAUCAAGCAGUACCAGAAGAUACCAUAAAAUAAAAUCAAAAGGGAAAAACAAACUCGGAUCCAGAGGCAACCACAAAGUCUACUAAAUAAUCAAUAAGACAUGCUGGUCAUACAAUAUGCAUGACUUAAUUGAGAAGAAAGAACAAAGUUUCUGGGUCUAUCAACGCGUAUGACAACAAAUCUAUAGAAGCAUUAGAAAUCGUGGUUUCCUUGUGGCAUAUCUAGAUCAACGCGUAUGACAACAAAUCUAUAGACCGACGAUUUUACCACUCAAUCGAGUAUCAAUUAAGGCACAUGUUGUUUGCAUAAGAAAGAAGGUGAUCUUACCUUGGACCAGGACCAGUACUGGAUAAAGCCAGAGGAGGCAGAAUGCUCGCAAAGCUAAGAGGGGGCGAUGAACCGUUUGCCGACGCAGAUGAGGCCGUGGGUUGGAGAGGCGCAGAGCUUACAGUUGAGUUGCUCGGAGGACUCGUUGAUGGGUGACUUCGGAUUUUUCUUCGAACCCGCUGGCCUCCUAAUAGUUUUACGCAGCAAACCAGAAAAAAUGAUCCAGAAUUAGGAGAUGAUUAAGUGUUUAAGUGAUUAAGUGAUACCAACCAACCACAAUCGAGAAGAUGGGUGGUGCGGGUGCCUGGGUGGAACCGUGGAGGGGAAGGGACGACGCACGCGAGACGACGAGAGAAAAU
rnacentral:lncRNA from 1 species